rnacentral:rRNA from 1 species
CAGCAGCCGCGGGAAUACGUAGGUGGCAAGCGUUGUCCGGAAUUAUUGGGCGUAAAGGGCUCGCAGGCGGUUUCUUAAGUCGGAUGUGAAAGCCCCCGGCUCAACCGGGGAGGGUCAUUGGAAACUGGGAAACUUGAGUGCAGAAGAGGAGAGUGGAAUUCCACGUGUAGCGGUGAGAUGCGUAGAGAUGUGGAGGAACACCAGUGGCGAAGGCGACUCUCUGGUCUGUAACUGACGCUGAGGAGCGAAAGCGUGGGGAGCGAACAGGAUUAGAUACCCCCGUAGUCCUGUCUCUUAUACA